rnacentral:rRNA from 1 species
GAUGAACGCUGGCGGCGUGCCUAAUACAUGCAAGUCGAGCGAACAGACGAGGAGCUUGCUCCUCUGACGUUAGCGGCGGACGGGUGAGUAACACGUGGAUAACCUACCUAUAAGACUGGGAUAACUUCGGGAAACCGGAGCUAAUACCGGAUAAUAUAUUGAACCGCAUGGUUCAAUAGUGAAAGACGGUUUUGCUGUCACUUAUAGAUGGAUCCGCGCCGCAUUAGCUAGUUGGUAAGGUAACGGCUUACCAAGGCAACGAUGCGUAGCCGACCUGAGAGGGUGAUCGGCCACACUGGAACUGGGACACGGUCAAGACUCCUACGGGAGGCAGCAGUAGGGAAUCUUCCGCAAUGGGCGAAAGCCUGACGGAGCAACGCCGCGUGAGUGAUGAAGGUCUUCGGAUCGUAAAACUCUGUUAUUAGGGAAGAACAAAUGUGUAAGUAACUAUGCACGUCUUGACGGUACCUAAUCAGAAAGCCACGGCUAACUACGUG